rnacentral:misc_RNA from 1 species
UUUGAAAUUAAUUCCUUCUUCCUUUUUUGUUGUUGUUUGAUGUAAAUAGAAAAAGAGAAGGAGAAAUAUUGUAGAGGUAUUCGAACAACAUCUAACAUACAUUCGAAUAAAAAUUGGGGAGAAGUCUUUCGAAUGGACAAAGAGUUUGAGAAAAGACUGCUACGGCAGUCCAAUGGACGUUCUCCUGUCCGCCGUCACGCCAAUACAUCCUUUACUUCCUCGCCGGGAAUCCUUUCAUCGCCGUCCUUGAUGCGGGAGUCGUCCUUAAUCCGGUCUCCCAUAACAUCUCCAAGCAAAGAACGCUAUGGAGAUCGGUUCAUUCCGAGUCGGAAAGGGAAUAGCUGGGAUACGAGCUUCAACCUGAUGCAGGAUAAAGGCGGAAAUGGUUGCAAGAAGACGACUCGGGAGGCUGGAGAAUGCAGCAAGGAUUACUCCCUCCUCGUGUACUCGUCUCUCUUGAAGAAUGAAGUGCUGGGAGCCUCCAUCGAAGACUUCAAGGAGUCCUCAUCGGAGGAUCGAAGAGUCUUUUCCCCCUCAUCCAAUGACGCCAAAAAUCUCUUCUCUUUCAAGUCCAAAUAUAGGAGCGUGAUAAACGAGCCCUCAUCCCCUUAUAGCUUGACUCCUGUCAGUAGUAAAUCUCAAAAACUCUUAAGAUCUCCACGAAAGGCUUCUCGCAAAAUUUCAAAGAUUCCCUUUAAGGUCCUUGACGCUCCUGAGCUUCAAGAUGACUUUUAUUUGAAUCUUGUGGAUUGGUCAAGUCAGAACGUAUUAAGUGUGGGACUGGGUGCCUGUGUUUACCUGUGGUCUGCCUGCACUUCUCAAGUUACCAAGUUGUGUGACUUGACCUCGGAUAAUGAUAACGUGACCUCUGUGUCAUGGUCGGAGCGAGGAAAUUUGGUCGCUGUAGGAACACAUCGCGGGUACGUUCAAAUAUGGGACAUAGCAGCCUCUAAGCGUGUCAAUGUUCUCGAAGGACACUCCACUCGCGUUGGCGCACUUGCAUGGAAUGGAGAUACUCUAUCUUCGGGUUCAAGAGACCGACUUAUCCUUCAAAGAGACGUGCGUACACCUUCAGUUACUCCUGAAAGGCGACUCGUUGGCCAUCGACAAGAGGUGUGUGGCCUCAAGUGGUCACCGGAUAACCAGUAUUUAGCUUCAGGAGGAAACGAUAAUAAGCUGUUUGUUUGGAAUAUGUCAUCACUUCAACCCGUUCAAACUUAUAAUGAGCAUUUAGCAGCAGUGAAAGCGAUUGCAUGGUCUCCACAUCAUCACGGACUUUUAGCCAGUGGGGGUGGCACAGCUGAUAGAUGUAUUCGUUUCUGGAAUACACUGACAGGUCAAGCCAUGCAGUCUGUAGAUACGGGAAGUCAAGUUUGUAAUCUUGCGUGGUCCAAGCAUGCAUCUGAAUUGGUUUCCACCCACGGUUAUUCUCAAAAUCAAAUUUUAGUUUGGAAAUAUCCAUCUUUGGUUCAAGUAGCGAAAUUAACUGGUCAUUCCUACCGCGUAUUAUAUUUAGCCAUGUCUCCUGAUGGUGAAGCUAUCGUCACUGGUGCGGGAGAUGAAACUCUUAGGUUUUGGAAUGUAUUUAGCAAAGUUAGGUCUCAAAAAGAAGCGAAAUCUGCAUUAAAUCUUUUCACUAGUAUUAGAUAACCCUCAAAACUAUCUGACGGAAGAAAAAGAUAAAUUUUGUUGUUCAUCAUACAUUCUUUAUGAGCGCAAUGCUAGUCUCAAUCCGUUGUUUUCUCUCUUGUCGAAAUAUUUAAUUGUUUUUGAUUUUAAAUUCCUUGUUUCUUUUUGUUGUUAGAUCUUCUUUACCUUAAUUUCAUACCUAUUGUGCAAUUUAUGUUUAUAAAGAUACCUAUGAAUGCGGAAAAAUAUUAACUAUUUUUCAUAAUAACGUUUAUGUUCUAAUAAAUUAUUUUUCUAUUCAGAAAGUGUAUCUUUUUAUUUAUUAAUGGACAAUAACGACCCCUUUGAUUGUUCAUUUACUUUUCAGGGAAAAAAUAAAGUGACUGAGCCUGUAAAUUAGGAAAGGGAUUAAAGAUAAAUUAACCCCCUCCUGUAUAAUGUAAUCAGAAUUUUGAAAGUCGAAUAAAAAAAAAAGGAAUCGGGUUAAUACUUCAAGUACUCACUACUCAGAGUGUUAAUUUUCUUGAAUUACAAGCAACAUUGAUUUAAUCGUCAUUUAACAAUCGGCAGGAUGAAGUUCCUUUUAAUUGGACUCUUUCUUUUUACAACAGUUUUAUCUCUGUCUCAAGCUUCAGCCUCCGGAAACAAUAGACACCGCCAUCGAAGGUCUGCUGAUGAAGAUGAGGACUUACCCUCUGAGCGAUCAUAUCAUUCUAGGUAUGGAGGAGGGGGUUAUGGGGUAGGGUACGGUGGACAUGGCCACGGUUAUCCUCAUCUCCCAUAUGGAUCAUACGCUCGGCCUCACUUCUCUAUCGAUGCAGGUUAUUACCAUCAACCCUACUAUAAGAGAUUAGGGAGUGGAUUGUUUUCUGGACAUUAUGGAAGUCGCUAUAUAACUCCCUUUGGAUCUGGAUAUUCUAGAUAUUUUUAAUUAAUAUGAUUACGACAAACUCCAACGCUUAAUUUUAUAUUAGUUGAAACAUAAUUUUCUCCCUCAUACUACGAUUUUAUUUAUGUGAAUAUUAUAUGUAAAUUAAUGUAAA